CUCCGGCAGCGAAGUGGUUAACCCCGGAUGCGAUUUCCACCCCGGCUCUCCAGCCCCAGCCCCGCUGCCUCCCGGACAAGCGCUCUCCUGGGCAGGUUGCUGGUCCGAGGCCAAGGGGAGGGCCACGCCGGCGGGGCAGCCUUUGUCCCAGGAGCGGGCUCCCGGCUCCAGGUGCGCGCGGACUCCGGGACGAGCGCGGCGGGGCCGGAGCGGCGGCCGGAGCCGGAGGGGUUGGAGGAGGAAUGGACACCAAAGCCAAGGCUGUUGCAGGUCUCCUGGCAGCCACUUGUGUCUGCAGCAUCAUCACCCUCAUUCUGAGCGUUGUGAACGUGAAGGAUGUGUUUCUUCCCCCCAGCACCAAGUACGGGCUGGUGUUUGACGCCGGCUCCACACACACGUCCCUCUACACCUACCGGUGGCCCGCGGACAAGGAGAACGGCACCGGCAUCGUGUCCCAGGUGGAUGUUUGCACCGUGGAAGGUGAGUGUGCUGGGAUGUGCCUGUCCCUCUCCCUGCCCAGCUCACCUGGGGGACGCUGUGGCUGCCCAGCUCCGGUGCUUGCCAGGGUGGCUGUUCCACAUGCCAAAGCUGGUUCACAUCAGGUGUGGUAAACGGUAUAUUUAUUUAUUGGGCAUUUUUAAACACCCACAAGGGUGUUUAUUCCUAUUGCAAAGGUGCUGUCAGGCUUUGGCACACGGACAAAUGUCUCCAGAGGAAAGGACCAGGAUAGAGGGGGGAUGUGGGGGUCAGAUAAAUGGUAGAUGAAGCUGGGCUGG
rnacentral:lncRNA from 1 species